CCCGCGAAAACUUUGGUAUUCCAUAUUUGAGUUGUGAAAACUACUUAUUAUAUUGAAACGAUUGAUUUUCGAAUACGCGAGAAAAUAUUCAAGCACCAAUACGGCGGGUCGCCAUAUAACGUCACACUUUUCUUAAUUUUUGCCCGAAAUACAAGUACUGUGAGGACAAAUUUAACGAAUAAACGUAGUGCUGAGAAUGCAGGAAAUGGCAUUUAAGGGCUUCAAAUUUCAAAAAUUUUUGGGGGGAGAUGCCCCCGGACCAACUCUGGAAAACCUCCACCCCUCUAACUAAUCAGGCCAGAUCCGCCCGUGAUUUGAGCUUUCCAGUUAGGCUGUAGGUCCCACUUGCAGGGGCGGAUUUAGCCUCAACUGCAAGGAGGGGUGCAGGUUUUCCAUGGAGUGGUGCAUGAGGGAGCCUUACUGCCCACUCUCCUCUGCAGUCUGCAACGCUACUAUCCCAACAUUACCAUUAUCUGAGAUCGCUGAAUCUGCAUGUUCGCCGUUCUGUAAUGUUUUACGUUUCGCUGCUGUAACGAACUACAAUUUACGAAUAGCGAGUAAUUUUUGACUACUUUUUUAAAAAGUAGCUGUCAGUCCUUUUUAAGGAAUUUACCGGGGGGGGGAGAAAAAAAUUUUCAAGACAGCAAAAAUGUCGGACGUCACGUUUUGAAAAAUUUGUUGAAUUUGACAUUGCUAUUAUCAACAAACCGUCGAAAAGCGGAAAAUUAUCGUGAAAACGUCGUGAAAAAAUUUCCUUCGGAAAUAACUUUUACUUUCACACGAUGGCUUUGGUUAAAUUUGCUCGCAGCUCACAUCAGAUUAUAGGUCCACUAGCAGCUCGCAACUGAUCAAUCCAGAUCACUUGCUACGCGUAGGAAUUUGAUACAAGUUUUCCAACAUGGGAAGUAAACAAUUAAACAUGUUCUGCUUUUAUUUUUCUAAGAAUGGACAACCAAUAGACAUCCAAUAAAGAUCUUUCAAUUUUAUGUGACUAAAAUCUAAAAUCUAAAAUAACUAAAAUUUUUGGGUGAUGCAUUAUCUGUCUGAAGGCCAAUUUACACUACACAACUUUUUCCCAAAGCCUGGUUUCCAUAUGGUCGUAACGGUCGUAAAGAUUGAGUCACCUUUUUUUUCAACAGCCGAAUGUAUAAUUUCAAUGUGGUUUAUAGGUAAAAACUAUUACCCUUUUCAAAUCGAGCGGAGGACUAGGUCUAGUCGCUUGUUUGGAGGGACAAAAAAUAAACAAUAUGCCGAAUAUGGCAUCUAGGAAGUUUUCCUACAUUCCUAAAGUUAUUUGUGCAGCCUGAAACGCAACAAUUAUAAAAAGGCAUCUUUUAAUAUAUAUUUAGCUCGCUCACUAUAACUUGUUGUCCCUCCAAACGUCCCUCCAAACAUCAACUAGACCCAGUCCUCUGCUCGAUUGGGAAAUGGCUAAUUAUAAUCUGGCUGAUGAGAAAGAUCGUAACUUUAUCUUUUAUGACUGUAACAACCGUAUAUGGAAACCUG
rnacentral:lncRNA from 1 species